rnacentral:sRNA from 3 species
AUGUACCCACGUACACUCUGGUUCCUCCGCGCCGCCCGCACCCACCUGACGGCUGCUCGCUACGUUUUGUUAGCC